UACAGAGGGGGGCCAGCGUUAUUCGGAAUUAUUGGGCGUAAAGGGUGCGUAGGCGGCCUUGUAAGUCAGUGGUGAAAUACUCCAGCUUAACUGGAGGGGUGCCAAUGAUACUGCAGGGCUUGAGUACAGAUGAGGUAGGCGGAAUUGACGGUGUAGCGGUGAAAAUGCAUAGAUAUCGUCAAGAACACCGAUAGCGAAAGGCAGCUUACUGGGCUGUAACUGACGCUGAGGCACGAAAAGUGUGGGGGAUCAAAACAGG
rnacentral:rRNA from 1 species